CACAUCUCUCACAUGUGUAAUUCCAAAAAUUGCGGGAAAAUUCAAAACCGCCAUAUAAAAUCCGAAGAAGAAGAACAGCAACACCGCCACCACGGUUGAUAGUGUUACAAAACCGGGAAAGGAAGAAGUUACAAAAUGUCAGGAAAGGCGCGCUAAUCUGCUGCUGGGCGCAGAGUCAAAAGUAGACAAAAGACUGAAGACAGUGAAGUUGGCCCAUGAUGUUCUGUUGGAAUUAAACUCAUCUCCAUCUAUUGGUUGGGAGAUGGGAUAAUGGGACAAUUCUGAGUACAACGCAUUUCUCA